rnacentral:rRNA from 1 species
AGAGUUUGAUCAUGGCUCAGAUUGAACGCUGGCGGCAUGCUUUACACAUGCAAGUCGAGCGGCAGCGCGGGGGCAACCCUGGCGGCGAGCGGCGAACGGGUGAGUAAUAGAUAGGAACGUGUCCGGGAGUGGGGGAUAACUAGCCGAAAGGUUAGCUAAUACCGCAUAUUCUCUUAGGAGGAAAGCAGGGGACCAGUAAUGGCCUUGCGCUCGCGGAGUGGCCUAUCUCCGAUUAGCUAGUUGGUGAGGUAAAGGCUUACCAAGGCGACGAUCGGUAGCUGGUCUGAGAGGAUGAUCAGCCACACUGGGACUGAGACACGGCCCAGACUCCUACGGGAGGCAGCAGUGGGGAAUUUUGGACAAUGGGGGCAACCCUGAUCCAGCCAUGCCGCGUGCGGGAAGAAGGCCUUCGGGUUGUAAACCGCUUUUAUUUGGGAAGAAGGAGUAGGGGUUAAUACCCUCUAUGACGGACGGUACCGGAUGAAUAAGCACCGGCUAACUACGUGCCAGCAGCCGCGGUAAUACGUAGGGUGCGAGCGUUAAUCGGAAUUACUGGGCGUAAAGCGUGCGUAGGCGGUUGGCAAAGUCAGCUGUGAAAGCCCCGGGCUUAACCUGGGAAUGGCGGUUGAAACUGGUCGACUAGAAUCUGGCAGAGGGGGGUGGGAUUCCCGUGUAGCAGUGAAAUGCGUAGAGAUGUGGAGGAACACCGAUGGCGAAGGCAGCCCCCUGGGCUGAGAUUGACGCUCAGGCACGAAAGCGUGGGGAGCAAACAGGAUUAGAUACCCUAGUAGUCC